GAUGAAGAACGUAGCGAAAUGCGAUAAGUAAUGUGAAUUGCAGAAUUCAGUGAAUCAUCGAAUCUUUGAACGCACAUUGCGCCCCUUGGUAUUCCGAGGGGCAUGCCUGUUCGAGCGCCAUAUUAACCACUCCCGCUUGCGGGGUCUUGGGCUUCGCCUCCGGGCGGGCCUUAAAAUCAGUGGCGGUGCCGUCGGGCUCUACGCGUAGUAAAUUUUCUCGCGAUAGGGUCCCGGUGGAUGCUUGCCAACAACCCCCAACUUCUUAAGGUUGACCUCGGAUCAGGUAGGGAUACCCGCUGAACUUAAGCAUAUCAAUAAGCGGAGGA
rnacentral:misc_RNA from 1 species